CUGUGUGUUGUUGGGUAGGGGAGCGUUCUGUAAGCCUGUGAAGGUGUGUCGUGAGGCAUGCUGGAGGUAUCAGAAGUGCGAAUGCUGACAUAAGUAACGAUAAAGCGGGUGAAAAGCCCGCUCGCCGGAAGACCAAGGGUUCCUGUCCAACGUUAAUCGGGGCAGGGUGAGUCGACCCCUAAGGCGAGGCCGAAAGGCGUAGUCGAUGGGAAACGGGUUAAUAUUCCCGUACUUGGUGUUACUGCGAAGGGGGGACGGAGAAGGCUAUGUUGGCCGGGCGACGGUUGUCCCGGUUUAAGCGUGUAGGUGUGUGUUCCAGGUAAAUCCGGUUCACUUUAACACUGAGGCGUGACGACGAGGCACUACGGUGCUGAAGCAACAAAUGCCCUGCUUCCAGGAAAAGCCUCUAAGCAUCAGGUAACAUCAAAUCGUACCCCAAACCGACACAGGUGGUCAGGUAGAGAAUACCAAGGCGCUUGAGAGAACUCGGGUGAAGGAACUAGGCAAAAUGGUGCCGUAACUUCGGGAGAAGGCACGCUGACACGUAGGUGAAGUGAUUUACUCAUGGAGCUGA
rnacentral:rRNA from 1 species